rnacentral:rRNA from 1 species
GACGAACGCUGGCGACGUGCUUAACACAUGCAAGUCGAACGGUAAGGCCCUUCGGGGUACGCGAGUGGCGAACGGGUGAGUAACACGUGGGUGAUCUGCCCUGCACUUCGGGAUAAGCCUGGGAAACUGGGUCUAAUACCGGAUAGGACCCUGGGAUGCAUGUCCUGGGGUGGAAAGCUUUUGCGGUGUGGGGUGGGCCUGCGGCCUAGCAGCUUGUUGGUGGGGUGAGGGCAUACCAAGGCGACGACGGGUAGCCGGCCGGAGAGGGUGUCCGGCCACACUGGGACUGAGAUACGGCCCAGACUCCUACGGGAGGCAGCAGUGGGGAAUAUUGCACAAUGGGCGCAAGCCUGAUGCAGCGACGCCGCGUGAGGGGUGACGGCCUUCGGGUUGUAAACCUCUUUCAGCACCGACGAAGCGCAAGUGACGGUAGGUGCAGAAGAAGGACCGGCCAACUACGUGCCAGCCGCCGCCGUAA